CCGUUGUCCCCCGGGUGCUCGCCGCCGCAGCCAUGGGCAACUGCUACACGGUGGGACCCAACGAGGCGCUGGUGGUGUCAGUGGUUGGUGUUUAUCACUCCUCCCCCACUUUGGGCAGUGCCUGUGCCUCUCCUCUGACGUUUUCUGUGACCCCCACGCUGGGAACCAGGGGUAGCAAAAAAUCGAAGACAUGCAAGCCCCCUCAAAGGCUUUCUCUGGGGGCUGUUUCAGUCCAGAUGCGAAGAAGUAUGUGUUUGGAGGCUGGGCCUGGGCCUGGUGGUUCAUCUCAGAUACACAGAGGAUUUCCCUAGAGAUAAUGACGUUGCAGCCCCGUUGCGAGGACGUAGAGACGGCCGAGGGGGUAGCUUUAACUGUGACGGGUGUCGCCCAGGUGAAAAUCAUGACUGAGAAUGAGCUGUUAGCUGUGGCCUGCGAACAGUUCCUGGGGAAAAAUGUCCAUGACAUCAAGAAUGUGGUGCUGCAGACCCUCGAGGGCCACCUGCGAUCCAUCUUAGGGACCCUGACGGUGGAGCAGAUCUACCAGGACCGGGACCAGUUUGCCAAGCUGGUGAGGGAAGUGGCUGCUCCCGAUGUCGGUCGCAUGGGCAUUGAGAUCCUUAGCUUCACCAUCAAGGAUGUGUAUGAUAAAGUGAAUUACCUGAGCUCCCUGGGCAAGUCACAGACUGCCCAGGUCCAGAGAGACGCAGACAUCGGAGUGGCGGAGGCAGAGCGAGACGCGGGCAUCAGGGAAGCUGAGUGCAAGAAGGAGAUGCUGGACAUGAAGUUCCUGGCGGACACAUACAUCGCCGAUUCCAAACGCUCCUUCGAGCUGAAGAAGUCGGCCUUCACCGAGGAAGUCAGCAUCAAGACGGCCGAGGCGCAGCUGGCCUACGAGCUGCAGGCUGCCAAGGAGCAGCAGAAGAUCCGGCAGGAGGAGCUGGAGAUCGAGGUGGUACAGAGGAAGAAACAGAUCGAUGUGGAGGAGCAGGAGAUCCUCCGGACUGCCAAGGAGCUGGUGUCCACCAUCCGGCAGCCCUCAGAGGCUGAGGCCCACCGCAUCCAGCAGAUUGCUGAGGGAGAGAAGGUGAAGAAGGUCCUCCUGGCCCAGGCAGAAGCGGAGAAGAUUCGGAAGAUAGGGGAGGCAGAAGCCAUGGUGAUCGAGGCCCUGGGGAAGGCCGAGGCUGAGCGGAUGAAGCUCAGGGCUGAGGCCUACCAGCAGUAUGGCCACGCUGCCAAGCUGUCCCUCGUGCUCGAUGCCCUCCCCGUCGAUUGCUGCCAAAGUGGCUGCCCCACUGACCAAAGUUGACGAAGUCGUGGUGCUCAGCGGUGACAACAGCAAGGUCACAAACGAGGUGACUCGCCUGCUCGCGGAGCUGCCGGCUUCCGUUCAUGCUCUCACUGGGGUGGACCUGUCCAAGAUCCCUCUGGUCCAGAAGGCGGCCGGGACCCUGGGCUGAGGAGCCUCACCCUGCCCCCUCCCCGCCCUCCUACAAGGAUUUUCCUACCCAGGGACAAUAGAAGUUUUACUGACUCUGGUGCCUGAUUUUGUGGGGGCCACGAGUGAGGCCAAGCUCAGUCCAUCCCCGUCAGUCUGUCUUGUCGUCCUCUGCUUCCUUUCUUCUUGUCCUCUUCUCCACCUGUCUCUUCCUCCUCCUCUGUUCUUUGUCUCUUGUGUUUGUGUGUGUGCACACUCUUUCCUCACCUCCACCAAUCAUAGUUUAAGCUAAGGAUGUUUGCAAUCACUGUUUGUCUCUGGGGAGCGGCCUGGCCGCUCCUCACAAUCCUGGUGCCUUGAAGUUCCUUGGCCAUCCUUUUGACCACCCUGUGGCACUAGCCAGGGUGCAGCACGCAGGAGGAGGGUGGCCUGGGCCAGGGAGGCCUGGAGUUGUUCUGCCUGCCCCUGGGAAGCCAAGGCCUCUUGAGCUUCUGGGCCAGAGACGUCAUGCUGCCUGGUACCCUCGCACUCCAGCCAGCCGUCCGGGGUGAGGAGCCUGCUGCUUUGUAAAGGCUCUUCUGACUCACCUGUCAAACCGCAGCUUUCUACAAUCUCUCCUCUCCCCGGGAGAACAGUGGAGAUGCCUUUUGUUUUUCCAGCUGCCAGAAUCCAUUAUUGGGUAUGGGUUGUUGGGAGGCCAAAGGAGGGGCAGGCCACCCCCCGUCCUCCUCAGGGGCUUCACCUUGCCCAGUACUGUACCAAGAGGAGGAGGAGGCUGUCUGGGUCGGCGUGCAUGUCCCUCCCUCCUAACUCAGGGUUGCCUCCUGCUUGGGCAUGACCCGGGGACAGGGAGUGGGCAGAAGGAGGUUCCCUACUGGCUGAAGGUUCAGUCCAUGCACUAGGCCGGACUAAGCCCAGGGCUACCUGCCCAGGGAAGGGCCGUGGGAGAGGGGAGCUGGCUAAUCUCCCGCCCCUUUGCAUCCCAGUGGGUGGAUGGAUAUUUGCCACCACUGGCCAGAUUCCAGGGUUGCUGGGCCCGAGGUGCUGCCCUUUGCCCAGGCCUCCACAUUCCUCAUGCCACCUUACUUUUUAACCCUUCCACGGGACAUGUCCCAGGCUCCAUAUUCUUGUUCCUUCUGCUCAAUGCUCAGGAGCCUGUCCUAGAAAACCCAUAAAAGUUCCUCCCAGCUUGUAUGUUCCGAGAGCCGUUGAUGGGGCAAGGAGCUCACCUUCCUCCUCCUAGCUUGUCCCCAAAUCCCAGGGGCCCUCGCUCUUCGCCAAAAGAGAGAAGGCGGAGAGACGGUUGGCCAGAGGCUGGGCCAGGUGUAUCAUCGAGUGUUAUGGGGUGGACUGAGCUGAGGAGGGCACCAGCUGGGAGCAUGGAAGAAGCUGCCUAGGCGUGGGGUGCUGUGGGCAUCCCGUCUGGGCACAGGCUCAACCCUACGUGGCAGGCUGCCGGCCUGUGUCACUGUCUGUGCAUGCGAGUGCUGCAUGUCUGGCCUGGGCCCUGCUCCCUUCCCUCUGCUAUAAUAAAGACUCCUUGCACCCAA